rnacentral:rRNA from 1 species
CCUACGGGAGGCUGCAGUGAGGAAUAUUGGUCAAUGGGCGAGAGCCUGAACCAGCCAAGUCGCGUGAGGGAGUACUGCCCUAUGGGUUGUAAACCUCUUUUGUCGGGGAGCAAAAGCCGGACGUGUCCGGCUGUGAGAGUACCCGAAGAAAAAGCAUCGGCUAACUCCGUGCCAGCAGCCGCGGUAAUACGGAGGAUGCGAGCGUUAUCCGGAUUUAUUGGGUUUAAAGGGUGCGCAGGCGGAUUUUUAAGUCAGCGGUAAAAUCGUGGGGCUCAACCCCAUCCAGCCGUUGAAACUGGGGAUCUAGAGUGUGCGAGAGGUAUGCGGAAUGCGUGGUGUAGCGGUGAAAUGCAUAGAUAUCACGCAGAACCGCGAUUGCGAAGGCAGCAUACCGGUGCACAACUGACGCUCAGGCACGAAAGCGUGGGUAUCGAACAGGAUUAGAUACCCUGGUAGUC